GCUGAGGAGGGGUCGGUACCGGUCCCCGUGACGACAGCAGGCGCCCCCUGUGGCUGCACGAGCGGUCGCAGUACUCCGAAGCUGCUGAGGAAGAACAGCAUCCGGAGGCCCCUGGGACUCGAUGGGCCCUCAGCGGCUCCUCCCCACGGCUCCCCCAGCCUCCUCCACCGGGUCCUGGCCAAGUCCAGGAGGAAGAGCUGCCCCCUCCUGCCCCACGCUCCUCUGGACACCGGCUCCGACAACAGCGCCUUCCAGGCGGACUAGACUGCAACCAGGCCGCCCCCCCACAAACCAGGACAUUUAGGAUCUGAUUCAUGUGUGUAAUCGUUUACUGACCUGAAGAUCAUUUAAAACCAGGUUCCAGAGGAGGUCUGACCUCCGUCAGGUCCGAGUCCCGACGGGCUCGUCUGUUUUUAAAAAUGUGUUUAACUUUAAAAUCUAUAUUUUUCUUUUUUACCAACUGUAACAGAAUAAACGAGGUCCCGUUCA